UACGUAGGGGGCAAGCGUUGUCCGGAAUUAUUGGGCGUAAAGCGCGCGCAGGCGGUUCCUUAAGUCUGAUGUGAAAGCCCACGGCUCAACCGUGGAGGGUCAUUGGAAACUGGGGAACUUGAGUGCAGAAGAGGAGAGUGGAAUUCCACGUGUAGCGGUGAAAUGCGUAGAUAUGUGGAGGAACACCAGUGGCGAAAGCGGCUCUCUGGUCUGUAACUGACGCUGAGACGCGAAAGCGUGGGGAGCAAACAGG
rnacentral:rRNA from 1 species